AAAUGUCACCCUUGCCGGCUUCCCUAACACAUGCAGUCGAGCGCGAAAGUUCCUUCGGGAAUGGGUAAAGCGGCGAACGGGUGAGUAACACGUGAGAAUCUACCCUUUAGUGAAGAAUACCUUCGAGAAAUCGAAGUUAAUACUGCAUAAGUCCCUUCGGGGAGAAAGGUGGCCUAAUUGCUACCGCUAGAGGAUGAGCUUGCGUACUAUUAGCUAGUUGGUGAGGUAAUGGCUCACCAAGGCGAUGAUGGUUAACCGGCCUGAGAGGGUGUACGGUCACACUGGAACUUAGACACGGUCCAGACUCCUACGGGAGGCAGCAGUGAGGAAUAUUGCGCAAUGGGCGAAAGCCUGACGCAGCGACGCCGCGUGGAGGAUGAAGGCCUUCGGGUUGUAAACUUCUGUUAAGUGGGAAGAAAACUACAUCUCUAAUACAGAUGUAGCAUGACGGUACCGCUAAAGAAAGCACCGGCUAAACUCGUGCCAGCAGCCGCGGUAAUACGAGUGGUGCAAGCGUUAUUCGGAAUUAUUGGGCGUAAAGGGUGCGCAGACGGCUUGUUAAGUCACUUGUUAAAUUCUCCGGCCUAACCGGAGGCGAGCAUGUGAAACUAGCAGGCUAGAGGGUGAGAGAGAGAAGUGGAAUUCUCGGAGUAGCGGUAAAAUGCGUAGAUCUCGAGAGGAACACCAAUGGCGAAGGCAGCUUCUUGGCUCACUCCUGACGUUCAGGCACGAAAGCGUGGGG
rnacentral:rRNA from 1 species